GUCUAUGGCCACACCAUCCUGCACACGCCCGAUCUCAUCUGAUCUCGGAAGCUAAGCAGGGUCGGGCCUGGUCAGUGUUGGAUGGGAGAAAUACAUGCACAGGGUGCAGAUC
rnacentral:rRNA from 1 species